AUAACGGUCCUAAGGUAGCGAAAUUCCUUGUCGGGUAAGUUCCGACCUGCACGAAAGGCGCAACGAAUUGGGCGCUGUCUCGACCAUGGACCCGGUGAAAUUCCACUAGUCGUGAAGAUGCGACUUACCCGCGGAAGGACGGAAAGACCCCGUGAACCUUCACUGCAGCUUGGCAUUGGCCGCUGGCCCGUCGCGUAGAGGAUAGGCGGGAGGCUUCGAAGCCCGGGCGCCAGCCCGGGUGGAGCCGACCUUGGAAUACCGCCCUCGGCGCGCCGGCGUCCUAACCCCAUGCCGUCAUCCGGAUGGGGGACCGUGCCAGGUGGGUAGUUUGACUGGGGCGGUCGCCUCCUAAAGGGUAACGGAGGCGCGCGAAGGUCCGCUCGGGACGGUCGGCAACCGUCCUCUUGAGUGCAAGAGCAUAAGCGGGCUUGACUGCGAGGCCUACAAGCCGAGCAGGUGCGAAAGCAGGCUCUAGUGAUCCGGCGGCCCCGCGUGGGUGGGCCGUCGCUCAACGGAUAAAAGGUACUCCGGGGAUAACAGGCUGAUCUUGCCCAAGAGUCCACAUCGACGGCAAGGUUUGGCACCUCGAUGUCGGCUCAUCGCAUCCUGGGGCUGUAGCAGGUCCCAAGGGUUGGGCUGUUCGCCCAUUAAAGCGGUACGCGAGCUGGGUUCAGAACGUCGUGAGACAGUUCGGUCCCUAUCCUCCGCGGGCGCAGGAGAAUCGAGGGAGGCUGCCCCUAGUACGAGAGGACCGGGGUGGACGCACCUCUGGUGAACCGGUUGUCGACCAACGGCACGGCCGGGUAGCCACGUGCGGCGCGGAUAACCGCUGAAGGCAUCUAAGCGGGAAGCCGUUCCCGAGAUCAGUUCUCCUUUCGGUAAGGGCCCAGGUAGACUACCUGGUCGAUAGGCCGCAGGUGCAAGCACGGCGACGUGCUCAGCCGAGCGGUACUAAUAGCCCGAGCUCUUACCCG
rnacentral:rRNA from 1 species